GGAGAGGUAAGGCCACAUCCCAUCACAAACAGCAACUUUUGGAGGCGUUCACCAUGAUCUGGAUGAUGCUGGGAGCCCCCAUGCUCUGAAGCAGUCCACUGCAGGGCCUGUAACCAUCUCUUCUUGAAAACAGGAGCUGAGCAAAAUCCAUGCAAAAGUAAAGUGCGUUGUGUUGCCUUGUUUGGCUCCCUGCCCAGGCAAGGGGUGAGCCCUGCAUAACUGGAAAGGGCUUGCUGGCUGUGCAAGAAGUGGUGCAAGAAACUGAAGCCUUGCUGCUUCUUGUGUGCUACUGACGUAAAUGUGGUAACACAAACGUGGUGUUGUGUGCUGGUUAACCUGGGGGAAACAGCAGCCGUGGGCUAGUGCUUGGCCUGCAUCAUUGCAUGUGGGAUGUGGAGCAAUGGCCAAAGCACAGACUGCCCUCAAGCCCUUUGUGUUUUGUCUUCUCCAAAUGGAAAAUUUCUAGCAUGAAUCUCUCUUUGCUGAUACUGAAGUUUAUUAUUCAGUAUUAAUAUAGCCCUGCUAUAGCUGACCCUAGACAUGGUAGCCCCAAGCCCCUUUGUUUCAGUUGAUGUUGUCAGUAGGUAGUCGCACCUAUCAAUAUGAUGAUCUACAGUUUGGCACACAGAACAGAACACUACUGUGCAUCUGUUUGGAAAUAUUUAGUAACAUUUCCCGCUUCAUUUAAAUAGUAAUGACUUGUUUAUUUUAUUUCUACAUAUAAAGGAAGGUCUGAAAGACACUUUCCAGAAAUGAUCAUGAAGGAGCAAAGGCCAAGUGCUUAAUGCUGGGCACAGACAACUUGAAGCCUGCUGCUCUGGGGCUUUCAGAUGCUAAUUGAGUUGCUGGAUCAUUUCAUUCACAGAAAUCUGGAUGCUGAGCACUUAAAAUGGUGUUGACUCCACUCAGCAGAAAGAGAACUGGAGGUACCAACAGAAACAGAGCUCAUGUGUGGGAUCUCUGCCUCCCAGGCCUGUACUCUCUCAGUUAUGCCACUCUCUCUUGAAAGUCUUGGAGCCUGGCCUAAAUCUGUUUUAGGCCUCCCUGAGGUCCCAGCCCUGUGCCUUCCACUACUCCGGAGUAAUGCUGGGAGGAUCUCAGUGUGAUCCUUUACAUAGCUUCCAAGGAUUUUUAGGAUCAUGGGAUUUAUGGGCCUGCAAAAUCCUCUGGAGAACAUCAGCUGCUGACAAAACCGUCUGGAAAUUCCUGCCAUCUUUUUGUCCUGUCUUUCCUGGGUCGCCGAGUGUUGGGAAGGAAGCAUCUCUGCUCUGAGGAUUACAGCAAAUCAGUCUUUUGCCAUCCUUACUGGAACACCUUCCCUUCCGGUUGCUCAAAACAGACUGAUUAUUGCAGAAGGCAGAAGGAUAUUUUUUCCCUUCCGCUGAGCUUUUCCAGUUGCAGCAGUGGCCAUGUCCAGCAGAUGAGCCUUGGGUUCCUGGCUGGCACUUUCACCUAAGGGAGUCAUUUGAGGUGGUGCACCAUAUUCCAGUUUGGAAUAUGAUGGUCUCACUUGACUGCAAAAAGGAGAAAGGAGGAGUGUGUGCAGGGAGUUCAGGUCCUGCCGUGGCUUCUUGGGAAGUGAGAAGGCAGCAGAAAGCCACAAAACUGGAGCCUCAGUAAUUUCUUUACACCCACCGUUUGCCAGUGUUCUGGAUUGGAAACCAACCGCAGCAGCUACUGACAGUCUCACUCCUCCUCCAUGUGAACCUGCUUCCAGGGUGAUACUUCCCACUUCCAUCUCCGUCGCAGACUGGAGUUUCAUGACCAUUACAACCCUUCCUGGAACCAUGGGAUGGCCCCACAGCAUGCCUUUGAUCCAGGUCAGAUGUGGGCUUCUCCGUGGGAUGAGUGCCGAGCAGGUCCAACCAUCAAAACUUACCUAGACACUAUGGAACUGUAUGCUCUGACUGGUCCCUACUGAAAUGUUCCCACACCCUGCCCUAGGGCUGUGCAUUCCUGAGCACUCUUGCCAGUGCCUCAUGAAGUCUUUCCACCAAACUCAUCAUUUUGGCUUGGUUCUGCAUCACCACACUGACACCGUGCAAGCUGCAAGCCACCAAACUGUACCUCUGAGCCACCUUGUGGGGCACACGUCUGCAGUGGCUUGGCUGCUGGACCACAUGGGGUGGGAUGCUCAGCGCACUGCAAGGAAUUUAGUUCAGCACUGGUGCUGGUAGAACAUGGAGCUGGGAGAGCAGCAUCAGGUUGAUGAGUGGCCAUGUUGGAGCCCUUUCUGCACACCACUUCAAAGGGCAUUUUGGUGUUUUGUCUCUUCAUUCACUGUUCUUUCCCACUUCUGUAUUCUGUGCAAUUUUAAAAACUUCUUGUUUGUAUUCCAUUCCUCAUAUCUUAGACUAAGUGUCCGUCUUAUUUUCUUUCUUAGCUGGUUCAUUCACACAGAGGCAGGGAGUAGCAAAACGUGUUUUUCCUUCUGAAAAGAGAUAAAAUAAAUGUGUUUGAUACCUGAGAAUAGUUUUUGCUGUUUGUCUGAGGCAGCUUGAAAUCCUUAAGGAAAAUCAGAAUCGUUCCAUUAGGAUGAGCUGCUUGCAAGCAUCCUGCUAAACUGGAUCAGCUCUUCAAACUGUACUAAAACUAAUACAAACCCUCCACAGAUAAGCACAGCAUAGGGUAUAAUUUUAUUUCAACUGGAGGGAAAAGCCCAGUACAUCAUCUCCUUUUAUUUCUGUGUGUGGUUGUCUUGUCACCCAUGUACAUCUAGAAAUAUGCUUUCUUCUCAUGUAUUUACUGAGGCACUCAAGCUAAAUGUGAUUGAGCCUGGUGGUUGCUGGGAUGGUUUGUUGUGCACGUCCAGGUGCCAUCUGUACACAGGGAAGUUGGCAAUGCAGCAAAUGGCUAUUUUCCCUUCUUUAAGAGAUGCAUUUUGGAGUUGCCUUUUGAUGAUCACUUAGGAUCUUAAAGCUUUUGUGUUUUCACAUUUAUCUUUGCGUUGGCUAAAUUUCAAUUCACUUACUUCCCUGUGAACAAUUCUUUUUUUGUUGAAUAAACUAUUCCUUGCAAACCAUA